UACGAAGGGUGCAAGCGUUAAUCGGAAUUACUGGGCGUAAAGCGUGCGCAGGCGGUUGUGUAAGACAGAUGUGAAAUCCCCGGGCUCAACCUGGGAACUGCAUUUGUGACUGCACGGCUGGAGUGCGGCAGAGGGGGAUGGAAUUCCGCGUGUAGCAGUGAAAUGCGUAGAUAUGCGGAGGAACACCGAUGGCGAAGGCAAUCCCCUGGGCCUGCACUGACGCUCAUGCACGAAAGCGUGGGGAGCAAACAGG
rnacentral:rRNA from 1 species